rnacentral:rRNA from 1 species
UGGGGAAUAUUGCACAAUGGAGGGAACUCUGAUGCAGCGACGCCGCGUGAGUGAUGAAGGAAUUCGUUUCGUAAAACUCUGUUCUAUGGGAAGAAAAGGACUGUACCAUAGGAGAAAGCUCCGGCUAAAUACGUGCAAGCAGCCGCGGUAAUACGUAUGGGGCGAGCGUUGUCCGGAAUUAUUGGGCGUAAAGGGUGCGCAGGCGGCUUUACAAGUUGGAUGUGAAAUAUUGUGGCUCAACCACAAACGUGCAUCCAAAACUGGAAAGGUUGAGUUAAGGAGAGGUAAGUGGAAUUCCUGGUGUAGCGGUGGAAUGCGUAGAUAUCAGGAGGAAUACCGGUGGCGAAGGCGACUUACUGGGCUUAGACUGACGCUCAGGGACGAAAGGGGGGGGAGCAAACAGG